UCCACACAACCGUGAAUACGUACUGUCGGCCCUGCUAGGGCACAAGUCCUAGCAGCUGAGUGUCUGGGUUCUCGUAAUUCAGGCCGCUCAGGUCGCGCUGCAUUGCCUUUGGGCAUGUGGGGCGUCGGUCUUUAUCUAACCAACAACACCAAACCAAACCUAAUGAAAAAUCGAGGGCUCGGCUUAGAGCUGACUCUCACCAACCAAGACAACUCUCAACAACGGAUAUCUUGGCUCCUCGAAUGAUGAAGAACGCAGCGAAAUGCGAUACUUAGUGUGAAUUGCAGAAAUACGUGAAUCAUCAAGUCUUUGAACGCAUAUUGCGCUCGAGGCUUCGGCCAAGAGCAUGUCUGCCUCAGCGUCGGGUUAAUACUCGUCUCAUGCUCCCUCUGGGGAGUAAUGAAACGGACCUGGCCGUCUCGGCUAAAUUCUCUCAGAAUUUAGCCGGGUCUGCUGAAGUGUAGAGAUUGAUGCAUGGACCCGCUAAGGGCCUCAACUGGGUAGGCAAUUCGUUGCUAAUGCUUUAGUUGGUGGUCUGGAUUCGUGCUGGUCAAUCCGAACCAGGAACUCUUGCCCUGUGCGAGAGCUUAACCCUCAUUAUCUCGACCUGAGCUCAGGCAAAGCCACCCGCUGAACUU
rnacentral:rRNA from 1 species